GACAGCGUGUCCGAGUGGUUAAGGAGGUGGACUUGAAAUCCACUGGGCUCCGCCCGCGCAGGUUCGAAUCCUGCCGCUGUCG
rnacentral:tRNA from 1 species